GGGCACUCUAGGAAACUGCCGGUAGUCAAACCGGAGGAAGGUGGGGAUGACGUCAAGUCCUCAUGGCCCUUAUGACCAGGGCUACACACGUGCUACAAUGGCCGGUACAAAGGGCAGCGAUACCGCGAGGUGGAGCAAAUCCCAGAAAGCCGGUCUCAGUUCGGAUUGGAGUCUGCAACUCGACUCCAUGAAGUCGGAAUCGCUAGUAAUCGCGGAUCAGCAUGCCCGCGGUCGAAUACGUUCCCGGGCCUU
rnacentral:rRNA from 1 species